GCAGUGGUGGUUUGGUGGCAGAAUUCUCGCCUUCCACGUGGGAGACCUGGGUUCGAUUCCUGGCCACCUCA
rnacentral:tRNA from 1 species